rnacentral:rRNA from 1 species
GACGAACGUUGGCGGCGUGCUUAAUACAUGCAAGUCGACUGAAGCAGUGGUAGCAAUAUCGCUGUGGAGGUGGCGCACGGGGGAGUAACACGUAGGUCAUCUGCCUUCAGGUCUGGCAUAACUCCGGGAAACCGGGGCUCAUAGCAGAUGAUGCAGCGGCUCGACAUCGAGACAGUUGUUAAAGCUAUGUAGCCUGAAGAUGAGCCUACGUCUGAUUAGCUAGUUGGCGGGGUAACGGCCCACCAAGGCAACGAGCCGUAGCUGGGCUGAGAGGAUGAUCAGGCACACUAGAACGGAGACACGGUCCAGAAUCGUACCGGGGGCAGGAGUAAGGAGGAUGGCUGAAUUGGGGAAAUCCUGAAGCAGCAACGCCGCGUGAGGGACGAAGGGCUUUUGCUUGUAAACCGCUGUAGUGUGAGAAAAAAAUCCCCAUCGUGGGGACAUGAUGGGAACUGAAAAGAAAGCCCCGGCUAACUACGUG